rnacentral:rRNA from 1 species
UACGUAGGGGGCAAGCGUUGUCCGGAAUCAUUGGGCGUAAAGCGCGUGUAGGCGGCUCGGUAAGUCCGCUCUGAAAGUCCAGGGCUCAACCCUGGGAUGCGGGUGGAUACUGCCGGGCUCGAGUCCGGAAGAGGCGAGUGGAAUUCCCGGUGUAGCGGUGAAAUGCGCAGAUAUUGGGAGGAACACCAGUGGCGAAGGCGGCUCACUGGACCGGUACUGACGCUGAUGCGCGAAAGCGUGGGGAGCAAACGGG